GAUGAACGCUGGCGGCGUGCUUAACACAUGCAAGUCGAACGGUGAAGCAGAGCUUGCUCUGUGGAUCAGUGGCGAACGGGUGAGUAACACGUGAGCAAUCUGCCCCUGACUCUGGGAUAAGCGCUGGAAACGGCGUCUAAUACUGGAUACGAGCCGUGAAGGCAUCUUCAACGGUUGGAAAGAUUUUUCGGUCAGGGAUGAGCUCGCGGCCUAUCAGCUUGUUGGUGAGGUAAUGGCUCACCAAGGCGUCGACGGGUAGCCGGCCUGAGAGGGUGACCGGCCACACUGGGACUGAGACACGGCCCAGACUCCUACGGGAGGCAGCAGUGGGGAAUAUUGCACAAUGGGCGCAAGCCUGAUGCAGCAACGCCGCGUGAGGGAUGACGGCCUUCGGGUUGUAAACCUCUUUUAGCAGGGAAGAAGCGA
rnacentral:rRNA from 1 species